rnacentral:rRNA from 1 species
UACGUAGGGUGCAAGCGUUAAUCGGAAUUACUGGGCGUAAAGCGUGCGCAGGCGGUGAUGUAAGACAGUUGUGAAAUCCCCGGGCUCAACCUGGGAACUGCAUCUGUGACUGCAUAGCUGGAGUGCGGCAGAGGGGGAUGGAAUUCCGCGUGUAGCAGUGAAAUGCGUAGAUAUGCGGAGGAACACCGAUGGCGAAGGCAAUCCCCUGGGCCUGCACUGACGCUCAUGCACGAAAGCGUGGGGAGCAAACAGG